rnacentral:misc_RNA from 1 species
GAAUCUAGUGAUAUGUGAACGGCUGACUCGGUCAAUUUAUUGUGAAUUACUAUUAUGCAAAACUUUUGUGAAUCUCUAUUGUGCAUGACUCGUUUAACGAAUAUUGUGAUUGAAAAAUAACAAAACAAAACAAAUUGCGAAAGAUUAGCGAAUCUAUUUUUAAAAAUGCCACAAACCUCUGAGAAACAAAAACUUGUUAAUUUUAUAAUUGAAGAAGCUGCUUCUAAUAUAUUACUACAUCUGGAUGACGACAAUAGCUAUUGGAAAACUAUGGAUGAAUUGAAUAAAAGUCUUACAAUUAUCUUAUCGAACCAUCGCAGAAAUUAUCAAAAUGUGCCUAAGUGUUUGGAAUGGAGGACUAAUGUUCUUGACUAUUUAGACGAAGGACGUUACCAACAAAUGCUCCGAGUCUCUAGAGAUCAAUUUGCGUCGCUAUUGUCCUUGAUCAAAGAUAGUGCACAGUUUAACAAUGCUCAAUCCACUAGGCAAUUUUCAGUAGAACUACAGUUAGCUAUAACCUUAUAUCGUUUGGAUUCAUCGGGUGAAAGUGCGGCGAUUCGGAAAGAAGCUACAAUGUUGGGUGUAGGAGACAACUUUUUGUCAACUUUGGAGUUAAAAUCUAGAUAUAUCACUUGGCCUGAUACCAAUGAAAGACAAGAUAUCGUCAAAACAACGUACAAUGAGCUGCCGCAUUGUAUAGGGUAUAUUGAUGGUACAGAAUUGAAACUUGCAGAAGCACCAGUUGUUAACCAUUCGGCUUAUUUUUCAAAAAGCCGAAUCUAUUCCAUAAAGGCACAAGUUGUAUGCGAUUGCCAGUUAAGGAUUCGGCAUGUAGUAGCGGGACACUUUGGUAGUGUACACGAUUCUCGCAUGUUUCGUACUAGUGCUCUCUCCACUCAAGAAGGCUCACUUUUUUCUUCUCAAUGGUUAGCAGGAGAUUCUGCUUAUCCAUUGCUGAGCACUCUUAUCACGCCAUUUCGAACAAAUUCACAACAAAUGGACUAUUCAAAGCGUAAAGCAUUCAACUUGCGUCAUAGCAGAUAUCGCGUGAGGAUAGAACAUUGCUUUGGGAUUCUAAAAGAACGCUUUGGCAGCCUCGAAAGAAUUAAGAAUACGUAUUCAGGAUGAACAAAAUCAUAUUCUAUGUUCCAACUGGAUUAUUGUUUGCUGUAUAUUGCAUAACAUCUUCCGAGCUACUUCUAAUGAUAUUGAUCGAUAAUGAUAACGACGAAGAAUCAGAUGAAUUUCCUUCACAUGAAAAUGGCCGGCGAAUAACUGAGGCAGAAGCCAAGCGCAUAUCUUUGUACACAAUAAUGUUUGGUGUUCAGUAAAACGAUGGCUGGCAGAAAAAAAGCGUUCAGGGUGGACUUUAAAGAAUGAGUUGGAGCUGCUGGAAAAGUGGGAGGCAUGUUCCCACGACCUCCGGCGUGCAAAGCGAAAAGAUCACUUAAAGACUUGGGCCUGCCUUUUCGUUUUUCGCUUUGUAAAGAUGCUGUACCUCUAAAACGUUGAAUAAUACUCCGUAUGGUAUAUCGGCUUCUGUCCACCAUUUCACCAACCUCAGCUAAAUCGUACGCGUACGCCCUGAUUAUGCAAAUAUAAUAUUAUUUUCCGUUGAGAUUCGUUGGUUUCACAUUUUUUGCUGCCCAUUUUAAUAAAAUUGAAGCAAAUUUAACUAUAAAAUAAACGCACACUGAGUUUUGAAGUUUGAUUCUUUACAACAA